rnacentral:lncRNA from 1 species
ACCUUUUCAUCAAAGUCUUUUUUAACAUGAAAUUUGGGUCCAAGUUCAACACAAAUAUCCACUAGAUGCUCAGAGAUUUACGGCACUGAUUCCACUGGGAGCACUGCAUAUAUAGUGUUAUGGAGCUGAGUGGUAGUACUGAGCACUGGAAUGGUUAAGGAUGAGCUGAGGAUGUCUUGCAGUUAAGGCUGCCUAAAUAUGUUUGAAUUGUUAGUGGGUUAGCACAAAAAGGAGGAGAAGCUACUUAAGCAUUUCUUACUCUGUUCAAAUUGUUUAUCAAGUUCAGCCAAAGUUGAAUGUUAUGUUCAAUGCACUUUAAGUUUUAUAGGUGGUAUGGGGAUAGAUACAUGAAUGGCUGUGUUACUUUUGCUUGUAUUCAGCAGUUGCUAGCCUUCUUUUGCUCAUUAUCAAAACUUGGUCUCUAGAGGUCUCAACUAUUUGGGACACAUACAUUUAGCAACACCCUUAUGUUAAUAUGGCUCUCCUGAGGUUGCAGCUGGGACACAGAGUUUCUGUAACUGCUUGUGAUUAGAUUAAGAUUUUUCUCUUUCCAGCUUUAACUUCUGAUGUCAGAAGUCCUGUGUAGACACACAGAGCCUGUUUUUAAAUCUUUUGCCCACUUAAAUUCUGGAGACAUCUCAAUAGGAAGAUAGUUUCUUGACUUUUUGAUUAUUUCUGCUUCCAUUGGUAGGUUUUUACUAAAGAAUCUUAAACUGCUGUUCUUCUUGAAGGAAUGACAGGCAUAUGUUCACAUCUACUGUCACCUGUAUUGGCAUUUAUUGUGAAAAAGGAAAGCAUGUUCACUAUACUGCUGCACAUUCAGUUGGCAUAUGGCUGAACAGCACUCAGAGGAAGGACCCUGACACAGCCAGAGCACUUUGACCUGGAAUAGCAUAAGGCAGUCAGAGCCUAUGAUUCAAGGUUUUGGGAACUCAGAAGAUUCAAAGACAGCUCUGUAACAGAUUAAAUAACAAGCAUUGAAUAUAUAACAGUGCUAUCAGUUCACUUGUUUCUAUUUGUUACUGUUGAGGUACCUGUUUUUUCCAAAACUCUAACUACCGAUCGUGACAGCUCUGUAACAGAUUAAAUGACAAGCCUUGAAUACAUAACAGUGCUAUCAGUUCACUUCUUUCUAUUUGUGACUGUUGAGGUAUCUGUUUUUUCCAAAACUCUAACUACCGAUCACUUGUGAUUGAAUGAAAAUCCUAACUAGGAAUCUAAUUGUAUAACCAUUAUCAUGCCACUGUCUCUCCCAGUCUACACCUGAAACUCCUGAAAUUCAUUCCUAGAUAUGAAACUCUACAAAGUAUAAAAAUAAUGGACUUUUUUGGGGUCUAUUUUAUACAAUAGUUAAGAGUAACAUUAAAUACAUUGAAGGUAAUAUCUGUAGACUUCUUAAAGAAGUCUUUGAUUUUAAAUGUGUUAUAGCAUCGAAGAAAAAUAUUUGUUUUACACAGAUGUGAUUAAUCCUGUUGAUGACAUUGAAAGAAUCAAGGAUACAAAUCAGUUAAGG